GACGAGCGCUGGCGGCGUGCUUAACACAUGCAAGUCGAACGGAAAGGCCCUGCUUUUGUGGGGUGCUCGAGUGGCGAACGGGUGAGUAACACGUGAGUAACCUGCCCUUGACUUUGGGAUAACUUCAGGAAACUGGGGCUAAUACCGGAUAGGAGCUCCUGCUGCAUGGUGGGGGUUGGAAAGUUUCGGCGGUUGGUGAUGGACUCGCGGCUUAUCAGCUUGUUGGUGGGGUAGUGGCUUACCAAGGCUUUGACGGGUAGCCGGCCUGAGAGGGUGACCGGCCACAUUGGGACUGAGAUACGGCCCAGACUCCUACGGGAGGCAGCAGUGGGGAAUAUUGCACAAUGGGCGGAAGCCUGAUGCAGCAACGCCGCGUGCGGGAUGACGGCCUUCGGGUUGUAAACCGCUUUCGCCUGUGACGAAGCGUGAGUGACGGUAAUGGGUAAAGAAGCACCGGCUAACUACGUG
rnacentral:rRNA from 1 species